rnacentral:rRNA from 1 species
UACGGAGGGGGUUAGCGUUGUUCGGAAUUACUGGGCGUAAAGCGUGCGCAGGCGGUUUUGUAAGUUUGUCGUGAAAUCCCCGGGCUCAACCUGGGAAUGGCGAUGAAGACUGCAAGGCUAGAAUCUGGCAGAGGGGGGUAGAAUUCCACGUGUAGCAGUGAAAUGCGUAGAGAUGUGGAGGAACACCGAUGGCGAAGGCAGCCCCCUGGGUCAAGAUUGACGCUCAUGCACGAAA